GUCCUGCAACGAGCGCAACCCCUGUUUCCAGUUGCCGUCAAGUAAAGUUGGGGACGUCUGGAGAGACUGCCUGCGCAAGCAGAGAGGAAGGUGGGGAUGACGUCAAGUCAGCACGGCCCUUACGUCCAGGGCUACACACGUGCUACAAUGGCCGGUACAGAGGGCAGCGACCUGGUGACAGGUAGCGAAUCUCCAAAGCCGGUCUCAGUUCGGAUCGGAGUCUGCAACUCGACUCCGUGAAGCUGGAUUCGCUAGUAAUCGGAUAUCAGCAAUGAUCCGGUGAAUACGUUCCCGGGCCUU
rnacentral:rRNA from 1 species